rnacentral:rRNA from 1 species
AAGGGGGGGUAUCCCUUAAGUAACGGCGAGUGAAGCGGUAAAAGCUCAAAUUUGAAAUCUGGUACUUUCAGUGCCCGAGUUGUAAUUUGUAGAAUUUGUCUUUGAUUAGGUCCUUGUCUAUGUUCCUUGGAACAGGACGUCAUAGAGGGUGAGAAUCCCGUUUGGCGAGGAUACCUUUUCUCUGUAAGACUUUUUCGAAGAGUCGAGUUGUUUGGGAAUGCAGCUCAAAGUGGGUGGUAAAUUCCAUCUAAAGCUAAAUAUUGGCGAGAGACCGAUAGCGAACAAGUACAGUGAUGGAAAGAUGAAAAGAACUUUGAAAAGAGAGUGAAAAAGUACGUGAAAUUGUUGAAAGGGAAGGGCAUUUGAUCAGACAUGGUGUUUUUUGCAUGCACUCGCCUCUCGUGGGCUUGGGCCUCUCAAAAAUUUCACUGGGCCAACAUCAAUUCUGGCAGCAGGAUAAAUCAUUAAGAAUGUAGCUACUUCGGUAGUGUUAUAGCUUUUUGGAAUACUGUUAGCCGGGAUUGAGGACUGCGCUUCGGCAAGGAUGUUGGCAUAAUGGUUAAAUGCCGCCCGUCUUGAAACAACGGACCAA